GGAUGAAUAUUGGGUCAAUGGGCGAGAGCCUGAACCAGCCAAGUAGCGUGCAGGACGACGGCCCUAUGGGUUGUAAACUGCUUUUAUAAGGGAAUAAAGUGAGUCUCGUGAGACUUUUUGCAUGUACCUUAUGAAUAAGGACCGGCUAAUUCCGUGCCAGCAGCCGCGGUAAUACGGAAGGUCCGGGCGUUAUCCGGAUUUAUUGGGUUUAAAGGGAGCGUAGGCCGGAGAUUAAGCGUGUUGUGAAAUGUAGUGGCUCAACCUCUGCACUGCAGCGCGAACUGGUCUUCUUGAGUACGCACAACGUGGGCGGAAUUCGUGGUGUAGCGGUGAAAUGCUUAGAUAUCACGAAGAACUCCGAUUGCGAAGGCAGCUCACGGGAGCGCAAC
rnacentral:rRNA from 1 species